rnacentral:lncRNA from 1 species
UCAAGGGAUUUGUACAGCCCUGUAGGAGACACCUCCAGAGAAAGUAACAGCUCUCAAUUGAUUAGCUGAGGAGACCGAUUUUGUAAAUCACUACUUUUCUAACAACACUGGCACAGAUGGCCAAGCAUUCUCCCUUUUCUCAGAGCUGGUUUUCCAUCCCGGAAAGAGGACUUACAUAUACAAAGUUACUCUAAUCAGUUGUGAGCUGAUACCAUCAGCAUUCUUACUGAAGAACUCCUUAGUGAAAUAGGGAAGUUCAUAAAAUGCUUGUGAGAAGAUGGAAUAAAUAGGAAUUUCUGUAUUCCUCCUGAUAAGUACAACUAAAGACCCUGGACAUUAUUUAUAAAACAAACUGAAGAAGACUCUGAAAGAUAGAGAGGAGAAAGCAGACCACCUAGGGACCUCAGGACUCAAGGAACAAAACGAAGAAUAAACAGAUGCUUUUACAGCUCGCAUUGGCGGGAAGUUCUGGCACAAAUGAAGU